rnacentral:rRNA from 1 species
AAUAUUGGACAAUGGGGGCAACCCUGAUCCAGCCAUGCCGCGUGUGUGAAGAAGGNCUNNGGAUUNUNAUGCACUCUAAUUUGNNNNNAAGGGCUUUAGGCUAAUACCCUGAAGUUUUGACGUUACCAACAGAAUAAGCACCGGCUACCUCUGUCCAAGCAGCCGCGUUAAUACAGAGGGUGCAAGCGUUAAUCGGAUUUACUGGGCGUAAAGCGCGCGUAGGUAGUUCAGUAAGAUGGGUGUGAAAUCCCCGGGCGUAACCUGGGAACUGAUUGCAUCACUGCUGAGCUAGAAUACGGUAGAGGGUAGUGGGAUUUCCUGUGUAGCGGUGAAAUGCGUAGAUAUAGGAAGGAACACCAGUGGCGAAGGCGACUACCUGGACUGAUACUGACACUGGGGUGCGAAAGCGUGGGGAGCAAAC